CCCUUGAAGUGCUCCUCAAUCUACAGCUUAUGUCUUCUUCGGAUAAAAAAUUAGGAGCCUUAUUGAUGAAUCUCACAUUUAUUUUGUUCCAACAAAAAUUCUAAGAAAAUACCGAAAAAUGCUUUUUGUAAAACCGAUAAGAUCAAGUUAGAAAAAUAUAAAAAAUUCUGACCAAAAUUUUUUAUGCCGUUGCUUCGAAGAAUUCGAACUGUUCAGACAAUUGGUGGAGAACCUCCGCUCCGCUGCCGACUC
rnacentral:lncRNA from 1 species